GCAUGGUUGUCGUCAGCUCGUGUCGUGAGAUGUUGGGUUAAGUCCCGCAACGAGCGCAACCCUUGUCUUGUGUUGCCAGCACGUUAUGGUGGGGACUCGCGAGAGACUGCCGGGGUUAACUCGGAGGAAGGUGGGGAUGACGUCAAAUCAUCAUGCCCCUUAUGUCCAGGGCUUCACACAUGCUACAAUGGUCGGUACAGUGGGUUGCGAUACCGUGAGGUGGAGCUAAUCCCUUAAAGCCGGUCUCAGUUCGGAUUGGAGUCUGCAACUCGACUCCAUGAAGUCGGAGUCGCUAGUAAUCGCAGAUCAGCAACGCUGCGGUGAAUACGUUCCCGGGCCUUGUACACACCGCCCGUCACGUCAUGAAAGUUGGUAACACCCGAAGCCAGUGGCCUAAACUUGUUAGGGAGCUGUCGAAGGUGGGAUCGGCGAUUGGGACGAAGUCGUAACAAGGUAGCCGUACCGGAAGGUGCGGCUGGAUCACCUCCUUUCUAAGGAG
rnacentral:rRNA from 1 species